rnacentral:rRNA from 1 species
UACGGAGGGUGCAAGCGUUAAUCGGAAUUACUGGGCGUAAAGCGUGCGCAGGCGGUUUGUUAAGUCCGUUGUGAAAGCCCCGAGCUCAACUUGGGAAUUGCAGUGGAUACUGGCAGGCUGGAGUACGGUAGAGGAAGGUGGAAUUCCCGGUGUAGCAGUGAAAUGCGUAGAUAUCGGGAGGAACACCAGUGGCGAAGGCGGCCUUCUGGACCAGUACUGACGCUCAUGCACGAAAGCGUGGGGAGCGAACAGG